GCUUGUAUGAUGGAUAAACGAGAAUAAUGCUGUCUCAAUCUUAACAGUAAAAAUUAAUAUUCAAAUGAAGAAGUUUGAAUGUAUUAAAAAGACAAGAAGACCCUGUUGAGCUUUAUCUCUAGUAAAAUAGAAUAAAUUGAAUUAUUGAUUUUUUUAAAAAGAGGUUUAAUUGGGGCGAUUAAGGAAGAAAUAAAAUCUUCCUGAAAAUUAGAAGAUUUUAAAUCUUAAUAUAUAUCCAUUAUUAGUGAAUAGAUAAUUAGCUACCACAGGGAUAACAGGCUAAUUUCUUUUAAGAGUUCAUAUCGAAAAAGAAGU
rnacentral:rRNA from 1 species